rnacentral:lncRNA from 1 species
CACACUCAUCCCCUUCCCAAGGGAGACCCUCCUGCAUCCAGCUGAAAGUCUGGGGUCUCUGGCGUAGACUGCAUUAGGUCAGAGGUGCCCCGUCUUGAUCUAGAGAUCUAUGAACUAAAAAGACACACACUUGACUGAUGCAGCAGAGUGGAGAAGGGGUAGGAUGAGUGCAAGAAAACACUCCCAUUUCAAACAGGGAAGAGUGAGAGACACAGAGUGGUCACAGCUCUGCAGCCGUUCUGAAAUUCCCCUGUGAGACAAGGUGAAGACUUUCUAGCAUGAGGUGGGAGAGCUCCUAGAGAAUGGGAGAUCAACAGAGAGAAGCAAAAAGGUCUGCUAGCAAAGGAGCCAAAUAAGCAUUUGCAAUUUGUUGGAGGCGGACAAAGAACAGAGACCCCAGAGUGCAAAACACCUCCACACAGAUCUCUCGUUGGCUUCAUCCCUGUCUUCAACCAUAUGAGCUCUACUAUGUGUAAGACCAAUGAGGAUUUUUGGUGAACGAUAGAGUUGAAUAAAAUACAAUUACGCUCCUUGUGGACCUGGCAUUCCCUGGAAUGGCUUCAAAAAGGGGGUGCAGUAAAGGCAGUUAUGGCCAAAUUUCUGAGAAGCUUACUGUUGACUCUGCUGGAUUGUCAUGUUUUCAUGGCCAAAGCACUCCCUGGGACACCUGCCCCCAGUCGUCGUGUUUGUUCUCAGUAUCUCCUCACAGCCUAAUCGUAGAGUCAUUGCAAGGUGGGAGUCCUCAGCAUCCUGUUAAGCCUGGACCAGCUGAGCAUGACAGUUGCGUUGUCCUCACCCUCUGGCCACAUCACGCUCCCAAACAGUGGAGAUUUUAGGACAGAAAUGACAUCAUGGAUUUUGUUUACUGUGGCCUAUCUUCAAUGACCUGAGUCAAGACAGUCUGUCGCUUGGACUUGCCGUAGAGUGAAGAAUACUGGCUUUGGAGUGGGAACAACCUGGAGUUCAGUGCUCUGCCACUUGCCAGCAUUGUAACCGUGGUCAGUGACUUACCUUUCUGGAAUUCCCUCUUUCUCCUCUGUAAUAUAGGAGUAAUAGUAACAGGCAACUCAAAGGACUCUUACGAGGAUCGAAUGAGAUGACCCAUGUGAAGUGUUUAAGCCUGGACCUGGACCGCAGUAACCCUAAAUAAAUUUAGCCCUUAAUAUGGCUUUUUUAGGCCUAUUUGAUCUUA